rnacentral:rRNA from 1 species
GGUUAAGCGACUAAGCGUACACGGUGGAUGCCCUGGCAGUCAGAGGCGAUGAAGGACGUGCUAAUCUGCGAUAAGCGUCGGUAAGGUGAUAUGAACCGUUAUAACCGGCGAUUUCCGAAUGGGGAAACCCAGUGUGAUUCGUCACACUAUCAUUAACUGAAUCCAUAGGUUAAUGAGGCGAACCGGGGAACUGAAACAUCUAAGUACCCCGAGGAAAAGAAAUCAACCGAGAUUCCCCCAGUAGCGGCGAGCGAACGGGGAGGAGCCCAGAGCCUGAAUCAGUGUGUGUGUUAGUGGAAGCGUCUGGAAAGGCGCGCGAUACAGGGUGACAGCCCCGUACACAAAAAUGCACAUGCUGUGAGCUCGAUGAGUAGGGCGGGACACGUGGUAUCCUGUCUGAAUAUGGGGGACCAUCCUCCAAGGCUAAAUACUCCUGACUGACCGAUAGUGAACCAGUACCGUGAGGGAAAGGCGAAAAGAACCCCGGCGAGGGGAGUGAAAAAGAACCUGAAACCGUGUACGUACAAGCAGUGGGAGCACGCUUAGGCGUGUGACUGCGUACCUUUUGUAUAAUGGGUCAGCGACUUAUAUUCUGUAGCAAGGUUAACCGAAUAGGGGAGCCGAAGGGAAACCGAGUCUUAACUGGGCGUUAAGUUGCAGGGUAUAGACCCGAAACCCGGUGAUCUAGCCAUGGGCAGGUUGAAGGUUGGGUAACACUAACUGGAGGACCGAACCGACUAAUGUUGAAAAAUUAGCGGAUGACUUGUGGCUGGGGGUGAAAGGCCAAUCAAACCGGGAGAUAGCUGGUUCUCCCCGAAAGCUAUUUAGGUAGCGCCUCGUGAAUUCAUCUCCGGGGGUAGAGCACUGUUUCGGCAAGGGGGUCAUCCCGACUUACCAACCCGAUGCAAACUGCGAAUACCGGAGAAUGUUAUCACGGGAGACACACGGCGGGUGCUAACGUCCGUCGUGAAGAGGGAAACAACCCAGACCGCCAGCUAAGGUCCCAAAGUCAUGGUUAAGUGGGAAACGAUGUGGGAAGGCCCAGACAGCCAGGAUGUUGGCUUAGAAGCAGCCAUCAUUUAAAGAAAGCGUAAUAGCUCACUGGUCGAGUCGGCCUGCGCGGAAGAUGUAACGGGGCUAAACCAUGCACCGAAGCUGCGGCAGCGACGCUUAUGCGUUGUUGGGUAGGGGAGCGUUCUGUAAGCCUGUGAAGGUGUGCUGUGAGGCAUGCUGGAGGUAUCAGAAGUGCGAAUGCUGACAUAAGUAACGAUAAAGCGGGUGAAAAGCCCGCUCGCCGGAAGACCAAGGGUUCCUGUCCAACGUUAAUCGGGGCAGGGUGAGUCGACCCCUAAGGCGAGGCCGAAAGGCGUAGUCGAUGGGAAACAGGUUAAUAUUCCUGUACUUGGUGUUACUGCGAAGGGGGACGGAGAAGGCUAUGUUGGCCGGGCGACGGUUGUCCCGGUUUAAGCGUGUAGGCUGGUUUUCCAGGCAAAUCCGGAAAAUCAAGGCUGAGGCGUGAUGACGAGGCACUACGGUGCUGAAGCAACAAAUGCCCUGCUUCCAGGAAAAGCCUCUAAGCAUCAGGUAACAUCAAAUCGUACCCCAAACCGACACAGGUGGUCAGGUAGAGAAUACCAAGGCGCUUGAGAGAACUCGGGUGAAGGAACUAGGCAAAAUGGUGCCGUAACUUCGGGAGAAGGCACGCUGAUAUGUAGGUGAAGUCCCUCGCGGAUGGAGCUGAAAUCAGUCGAAGAUACCAGCUGGCUGCAACUGUUUAUUAAAAACACAGCACUGUGCAAACACGAAAGUGGACGUAUACGGUGUGACGCCUGCCCGGUGCCGGAAGGUUAAUUGAUGGGGUCAGCGCAAGCGAAGCUCUUGAUCGAAGCCCCGGUAAACGGCGACCGUAACUAUAACGGUCCUAAGGUAGCGAAAUUCCUUGUCGGGUAAGUUCCGACCUGCACGAAUGGCGUAAUGAUGGCCAGGCUGUCUCCACCCGAGACUCAGUGAAAUUGAACUCGCUGUGAAGAUGCAGUGUACCCGCGGCAAGACGGAAAGACCCCGUGAACCUUUACUAUAGCUUGACACUGAACAUUGAGCCUUGAUGUGUAGGAUAGGUGGGAGGCUUAGAAGUGUGGACGCCAGUCUGCAUGGAGCCGACCUUGAAAUACCACCCUUUAAUGUUUGAUGUUCUAACGUUGACCCGUAAUCCGGGUUGCGGACAGUGUCUGGUGGGUAGUUUGACUGGGGCGGUCUCCUCCUAAAGAGUAACGGAGGAGCACGAAGGUUGGCUAAUCCUGGUCGGACAUCAGGAGGUUAGUGCAAUGGCAUAAGCCAGCUUGACUGCGAGCGUGACGGCGCGAGCAGGUGCGAAAGCAGGUCAUAGUGAUCCGGUGGUUCUGAAUGGAAGGGCCAUCGCUCAACGGAUAAAAGGUACUCCGGGGAUAACAGGCUGAUACCGCCCAAGAGUUCAUAUCGACGGCGGUGUUUGGCACCUCGAUGUCGGCUCAUCACAUCCUGGGGCUGAAGUAGGUCCCAAGGGUAUGGCUGUUCGCCAUUUAAAGUGGUACGCGAGCUGGGUUUAGAACGUCGUGAGACAGUUCGGUCCCUAUCUCGCCGUGGGCGCUGGAGAACUGAGGGGGCUGCUCCUAGUACGAGAGGACCGGAGUGGACGCAUCACUGGUGUUCGGGUUGUCAUGCCAAUGGCACUGCCCGGUAGCUAAAUGCGGAAGAGAUAAGUGCUGAAAGCAUCUAAGCACGAAACUUGCCCCGAGAUGAGUUCUCCCUGACCCUUUAAGGGUCCUGAAGGAACGUUGAAGACGACGACGUUGAUAGGCCGGGUGUGUAAGCGCAGCGAUGCGUUGAGCUAACCGGUACUAAUGAACCGUGAGGCUUAACCUU